ACUACGUGCGGGUGUGAUUAAAUGGCCAAAAAACGAGAGGGAAAAAAGAGUCAUUUACGUAAAACCAGAAUAUGCUCUUCCUUCCCAUCGUCGAAUAGCCUCACACUGUGACAUAAAAUCCAUCAAUCCGAUAGAGAUCGUUUCUUAUAUAACCAUGCAGCAGCUCUAAAUGGGAACUACAACUUCUUUCUAAAGCAGCUCACAGGCAUUUUGAUUCCUUGGGCCCAAACUGGUGAGGAAUAGGUACUACCACACAUUUUUGGCUGAGCUUUAUGCUGUUGUCAUGGUAACAAUGCAUGGUUGGAAAAGUACAACCACUAGAAGACCCACUCAAAAUAUAUGUACAUAUGCACUAGCAGAAUAUAUCUGAUUUAUGAGUUAUGUGAACUGAUUAAAACGAUUCCUAAUAAACACUUACUGAUUUG